AAGGACAGUCAGUUCUAGAGUGUUGGUCAGAACUGAAGGACAAGUAUCUGAUGAUAUACGGGACCAAUGUCAUUGUGUGGGUGCCAGCACAAACUAUCAACUUCCUGUAUGUGCACGCCAAACUUCGAGUGAUUUACAUUACAACUGUGCUUGUAUUGUUUGAUGCGCUUUCGUCCUAUAUAAAACAUAAGGAGAGUGCUUCAGAUGUUGAAUUGAAUAUGCAAGCUGCCGACUUUAACUGUCAGCACUAUAUAGAGAAAUCUGCAUAACUAUCCUAUGUAAAAGUUAAAAUCUGUUUUUGUGUCUUCACCAUUAGCUUUAACUUCUACUUCUGCGUCUUAUGAGCAAAUUUAAUUUGAAUAAAAAUAAAAAUUAUUGCAUGUAUACAAAAUAAACUGUAGAAUUACUAAAAGUUAUAAGCUUCGAAAUUCAGCGACACAUUUUACUUUUAGCGAUAGACACGGAUGUGGUUUGAAAUAAACUAUUAACAAUGUCGUUUUGUAAUAAAGCGCCGAAUUGCUAGACCGCCUAUUUCAGAGCCUGUCACAUGAUGUUCAGUUGCCAGAGAAUCGCAUGUAGGCCUUACA